ensembl:lncRNA
GGGCAGGAGGGAGGAGCUCUGGGACACGCUGCCUUGGAGGUGAGGCUGGCGGGAGCAUCUUGUGGGACUGAGAAACAUGUCCUCCUCAGCUAAGCUCAUGCUGCCAGCAGCACAGUGCAUAGAGCCAUUCACAGGUGUGCUGCAGAAGGAGGAUGUUGAUCUGUUGGAGUGUUCCUUGCUGUAGGACGGCCUCUCUGUCUGGCAGCCAGUGGCAGGGAAGGCAGCACGUGGAGCUGGAGGUUGUGCCUGCAGCAGCUCUGCUCAGCUGAGCCACGUGGGCCCCUGUUCCUGAGGAAAGUUGCUGUGCUCCACUCGGUAUUAUCUUGCAGGUGAAUCUUCCAUAACUGCUAGAGGAAUGCCCAUAAGUUAUCCUAGCAGUGGUCUGAGAGUGCAGCACGUGGUCCCUGCCACGAAAUGGCGGCUGACACAAAAUGGCAGCUCCCAGUGUACACAAGGGGACAGGCUUCCUGUUCAAGUGACCACUGGGAGAGCUGGAGGUGUGGGCUUGUUCUGGCAGCCAAUCCCACCAGGGUAGGUGUGCUCAGGAGGGAGGAGCUCUGGGACACGCUGCCUUGGAGGUGGGGCUGGCGGGAGCAUCUUGCGGGACUGAGGAAAAUCUCCUCCUCAGCUAAGCUCAUGCAGCCAGCAGCCCAGUGCAUAGAGCCAUUCACAGGCCUUGGUGUGCUGCAGGAGGAGGGUGUUGAUCUGUUGGAGUGUUCCUUGCCGUAGGAGGGCCUCUCUGUCUGGCAGCCAGUGGCAGGGAAGGCAGCACGUGGAGCUGGAGGUUGUGCCUGCAGCAGCUCUGCUCAGCUGAGCCACGUGGGCCCCUGUUCCUGAGAAAAGUUGCUGUGCUCCUCUCAGUAUUACCUUGCAGGUUUAUCUUUCAUAACUGUUCGAGCGAUAACCGUAAGUUAGCUUAGCAGUGGGCUGAGAGUGCAGCACGUGGUCCCCGCCAUGAAAUGGCGGCUGACACAAAAUGGUGACUCCCAGUGUAUGCAAGGGGACGGGCUUCCUGUUCAAGUGACCACUGGGAGAGCUGGAGGUGUGGGCUGGUUGAGGCAGCCACUCCCACCAGGGUAGGUGUGGGCAGGAGGGAGGAGCUCUGGGACACGCUGCCUUGGUGGUGAGGCUGGCAGGUGCAUCUUGCGGGACUGAGGAAAAUCUCCUCCUCAGCUAAGCUCAUGCUGCCAGCAGCCAGUGCAUAGAGCCAUUCACAGGCCUUGGUGUGCUGCAGAAGGAGGAUGUUGAUCUGUUAGAGUGUUCCUUGCCGUAAGACGGCCUCUCUGUCUGGCAGCCAGUGGCAGGGAAGGCAGCACGUGGAGCUGGAGGCUGUGCCUGCAGCAGCUCUGCUCAGCUGAGCCACGUGGGCCCCUGUUCCUGAGGAAAGUUGCUGUGCUCCACUCUCUUUUAUCUUGCAGGUUCAUCUUCCGUAGCUGCUCGAGCAAUCCCCAUAAGUUAGCUUAGCAGUGGGCUGAGAGUGCAGCACGUGGUCCGUGCCACGAAAUGGCGGCUGACACAAAAUGGCAGCUCCCAGUGUACGCAAGGGGACGGGCUUCCUGUUCAACGGACUCUGGGAGAUCUAGAGUUGUAGGCUGUUUGAGGCAACCACUCCCACCAGGGUAGGUGUGGGCAGGAGGGAGGAGCUUUGGGACACGCUGCCUUGAUGGUGAGGUUUGUGGGAGCUGCUGGUGCCUGCCCAUGCUUCUGACAGGGUGAUGUAGAGCCGUGUUGUCUACAUGUCUUACUUGGCACUGAGGGCGGUUUUGCUGGGUGAGUUUCGUGACCAGCCUGCCUAACAUCCCUUCUUCAGCUUUGCUCAUGCUUUCUGCUCUCCAGUUCAUAUAGGAAUUGACAGCCCUUGGUGUGCUGCAGAAUGAGAGCACUGAGCCCAAAAACAAAAAGCAUCAAUGAGCUAACGGAGAAAAGUGAUUUACUAAAUAUCAUACUAGAGUGCCAGCUAACAUUAUAAUACAGUAUAAUUGGAACUGAAGCUUAUAAAUAAAAUUAGAGCAUCCAAAACUGAGGGCUUUACUCGAAUGCUGAAUUUGAGAUGGCUAGGGUGUAAGCACUUCAGAGAUAAGCAGUAAAAGAAGGGAUAGUUUCAUGACUUGGGAGCUGUUUUAUCUUUCCGUUUGAAUGGAAAACAGAU